CGGCCACUGGCUCUGUGUCCUUGGGGAAGCCCCUUCUGCGGUCCCCUCCAUUGUCUGCGUGACAAAGUGGACGUAGAACUCCCCCAUUUCCUGCCCAGGGCGGGUGAGGACCCUGCACACACACGGUGUGUUUGUGAGCUGUGCAGAGUGGGGUCUCCCUGGCAAUGGCCACAGCCUCCAGGGGCGCUGACACCUCCCGUCUAACUGGUAGACAGUUUCUGCCUCUUCUUGUUUGGGGAUUGGAGAGGGAAGUGCGUCUGGAUGACUACUAAGAUUUUCACAUAAUUUUUAAAAAAUCACCAUAUGUCGGCCAGGCGCAGUGGCUCACGCCUGUAAUCCUAGCACUUUGGGAGGCCGAGGCGGGCGGAUUACAAGGUCAAGA
rnacentral:lncRNA from 10 species